AUUGAACGCUGGCGGCAUGCCUUACACAUGCAAGUCGAACGGCAGCACGGGUGCUCGCACCUGGUGGCGAGUGGCGAACGGGUGAGUAAUACAUCGGAACGUACCUUAUCGUGGGGGAUAACGCAGCGAAAGCUGUGCUAAUACCGCAUACGCCCUGAGGGGGAAAGCGGGGGAUCGAAAGACCUCGCGCGAUUAGAGCGGCCGAUGCCUGAUUAGCUUGUUGGUGGGGUAAAAGCCCACCAAGGCGACGAUCAGUAGCUGGUCUGAGAGGACGAUAAGCCACACUGGGACUGCGACACGGCCCAGACUCCUACGGGAGGCAGCAGUGGGGAAUUUUGGACAAUGGGGGCAACCCUGAUCCAGCAAUGCCGCGUGAGUGAAGAAGGCCUUCGGGUUGUAAAGCUCUUUUGUCAGGGAAGAAACACCGGCUCUAACACAGUCCGGGAAUGACGGUACCUGAAGAAUAAGCACCGGCUAACUACGUGCCAGCCGCCGCGGUAA
rnacentral:rRNA from 1 species